UUCCUUCGCUGCGGAAAGGGGCGGGGCGACGGGGGGCCGAGCUCGCAGCUCAUUGGUUCAGCGCCCUUAGGACAGUCCGCCUCCCAAGAUCCAAAUACCUUCUCAGCAAUUCCAUAGCCUCCAGAUGUUUGCCUCUGAGGUCACGGUUGGAAUGAAACGCUUCGCCUGCCCUCGGCCCGCGCCCCGGCAGAUCUUGCGAGCGCCGCCCUUCGACUUUUAACGGUCCCCUCGG